CCGAGACCCGGCGUCUCUAUACUCGGGUCGGGUUCGGUUAAACGAUAUCGGUGGUGUUGAGAUAUCGUGGUUAUUCGGGUAAUCAGCGUGGAGGACAGAUACAAUGGCUGUUGCGCUCUUUUUAUAGUGUAUUUCCAUUGCAUGGUUGUGGUUUGUGAUCCCAACCUGGAGGAUACCUGCAAUAAGACUUGUGUGCCUGGAGCCCAGAGAUCUGACUCUUCUCCGCUGCCCUGCUCUCUUCCACUCGUGGGAGUCUCUGCUGUCGUCUCUGGACUCCUGUUGCUGGUCGCUGUGGUUCUUGCUGUUAAAUCUUCAAUGUUCCUGUGUUUUGAAUAAAGCCUUAAAGCUGAAA